rnacentral:rRNA from 1 species
CAGUAGCGAACGAGUGAGUAACACGUAGUAACCUGCCCACUGGAGGGGGAGAACCACUGGAAACGGUGGCUAAUACCGCAUAAGCCCGAAAGGGGAAAGCAAUUUAUUGUGCCGGUGGAGGGGACUGCGGGCCAUCAGGAAGAUGGUGAGGUAAAAGCUCACCAAACCGACGACGGCUAUCUGACGUGAGAGCGUGAUCAGACACGAGGACACUGAGAGACGGGUCCUACUCCUACGGGAGGCAGCAGUGGGGAAUAUUGGACAAUGGGGGAAACCCUGAUCCAGCGACGCCGCGUGAACGAAGAAGUCCUUCGGGAUGUAAAGUUCUUUUAAAUGGGAAGAAGACAGUGACGGUACCAAUUGAAUAAGCCCCGGCUAACUACGUGCCAGCAGCCGCGGUAAGACGUAGGGGGCAAGCGUUACCCGGAAUCACUGGGCGUAAAGGGAGCGUAGGCGGUUAUGCAGGUCAUACGUUAAAGCAUUCGGCUCAACCGAAGAGAUGCGUAUGAAACCGUAUAACUUGAGGAUAUCAGAGGAAAAGGGAAUUACCAUUGUAGGGGUGAAAUCCGUAGAGAGUGGUAAGAAUACCGGAGGCGAAGGCGAGUUCCUGGCUAUAGACUGACGCUGAGGCGCGAAAGCGUGGGGAGCGAACAGGAUUAGAUACCCUGGUAGUCCACGCCGUAAACGUUGUGCACUAGGUGUUGGCCUUAUUGGGUCAGUACCGUAGCAAACGCGAUAAGUGCACCGCCUGGGGAGUAUGCUCGCAAGGGUGAAACUCAAAGGGAUUGACGGGGGCCCGCACAAGCGGUGGAGCAUGUGGUUUAAUUCGAUGAUACGCGAGUAACCUUACCAGGGCUUGACAUCUACUUGACUGCCAUAGAGAUAUGGCUUCCCUUCGGGGCAGGUAGACAGGUGCUGCAUGGCUGUCGUCAGCUCGUGCUGUGAAGUGUUGGGUUAAGUCCCGCAACGAGCGCAACCCCUACUGUCUGUUACCAGCAUGUAAUGAUGGGGACUCAGACGGUACUGCCGGUGACAAACCGGAGGAAGGUGGGGAUGACGUCAAGUCAUCAUGGCCCUUAUGUCCUGGGCUACACACGUGCUACAAUGGUUGGUACAGAGCGACGCAAGACCGCGAGGUGGAGCAAAUCGCAGAAAGCCAAUCUCAGUACAGAUUGGAGUCUGAAACCCGACUCCAUGAAGGUGGAAUCGCUAGUAAUCGCACAUCAGCAUGGUGCGGUGAAUACGUUCCCGGGCCUUGUACACACCGCCCGUCACACCACCCGAGUUGGGGGUACCCGAAGUCGCUAGUCUAACCUGACCAAGGGGGACGGCGCCGAAGGUA